UGAUGAAUAAAUACUGAAUUAUUGUUUAGUAGGGUUUCAGUGCAUCUCGUCUUUCCCUCUCCCUGGGACUUUAUUGUGAAAUUUCUAACCGACAGUAGAAUGUCCGUUGUGAACUGGUCAGCUUGACAACCAAGCGGGGGAGGAGCUUUUUCCCGUUGGAGACCAAUGGCAGGAUAGGUAGCAACAGGUGAACAGCAAGCACACAGUGAGGUCGAGGCUCCAGGGACUCGGAUCCGGUCUGACAUGACCGGGAAUUGGAGAAGAGAGGACCAUUUCAGUGCCUCGGAGGGGGACCGACUUCUAGACAUCUGGACUGUAACCGACAGAGAAACUUAACAGAUAUCACCGACUGAGUGUGUUGUUGUCGGACUUCUGCAGUGAGCCCAGAGGAGUUUGGACCUGAUUAUUGGUUAUUGAUCGAAUGUGUCAUAGGCCUCGUGGAAUAUUCCGACACUAAGGCGACAGUUUGAGUUGCGCAUACAUUUUUUUUCCGUCUUUGCAAUCAUGUUCCUGCACCGACAUCGAAUUAGGGAAUCGAUUAAUUGAUUAGUUUUAGACGAGACUUUGUGUGCGGGUUUUAAACAACCGGCGGCUUGAAGACCUAAUCCCAGCUCUGCUGACCACGAAACCACUAUGAUCAGCUCAGACGGCCUGCGGCCGGCCACAUCCGGCAGGAAGCCCCUGGGAAAGCUCGCCUCCCGCCUGGAGGAGGUAAAGAACCCGUGGCGACAGGUAUCCACGUUGGAGCUGAGCCACAACGAGGCCGCCCGACUAGCGACGGACGCUCUGCUGGAGCACGGAGAGAAAGAGUAUCGCAGAGUCCUGACCGAGGAGCGGGAGCUCAACUUUCUGUCCCCGCUGGAGGUCCGCUACAUCACCAAGCAUGCUGCAAAGACGUGCAGCUCCGACAUCAACGGCAGCGGCCCCAACGACCGGGACUUCGGUGACGGAGACGACGUGUCCGAGCUCACCUCCGGGACUUACUUCCCCAUGAUGUCUGACGAGGAGCCGCCGAUGCUGGAGCUCGGCUGGCCAGACUCAAGCCCGUCCAGAUACGGACCGUCGGAGACGCAGAUCUACUUCCAGAGGGAUAAGUCCCACAACGUCAAAGACCUCAUCCGGUCCUUGAUCAACAAGGCCAAGAAGGUGAUAGCUUUGGUGAUGGACAUUUUUACAGACGUGGACCUGCUGUGUGAUCUUAUGGAGGCGUCCAACAAGCGCCGGGUCCCUGUCUACAUCCUACUGGAUGAGAAGAACCUCCAUUACUUCACUGAAAUGUGCUCCGUACUCGACAUUCAGAAUUCACACCUCAGUAACAUGCGUAUUCGCAGCGUGUGCGGCGACACAUACUGCACCAAGAGCGGCAAGAAAUUCACCGGUCAGGUCCUGGAGAAGUUCAUGAUCAUUGACUGUGAGGAGGUGAUCGCUGGGUCCUACAGUUUCACCUGGCUGUCGGCUCAGGUGCACAGCAACAUGGUGAUGCAUUUCUCAGGUCGCAUUGCCGACAGCUUUGACCGGGAAUUCCGCUGCCUGUACGCCGACUCGCAGAUCAUCAACUGCUUCUCCAGCAUGGAGGAGGAAGGGAUGUCCUACUACCCAUCGUACCAACUCAUGAUGGCCCCCGGCUUGGGUGUGGGUCCCGGCCCAGUCAUGGGCCUGGAUUUACUCUCUGACAGGCAGCGGGAGAGGGUGUGCUCUGAAAACUCCAGCAGCCAAUCGAGUAGCAGUGUGUCCAGUGUGAAGGUUGCACCUGGGAUGACCUCAAACACGGUCUACAAGGUCAAUCAAGGUCAUGACAAGAAGGAGCACAGCAACAACUCUCAUCUUAGCCCUGAGAGGAGAGGUGGAGACCGAGCAGGAGGACAAACCCCGAUGCCUCAGGGUCACAUCACACCAGGACCACGGGUCUCUGCUAAUGGAGGAGCCAAUCACAGCCCAGCUAUGGAACGACCACCGCCCCACUAUGGUCAGCCAUUGGGCAUCGAGUGGAACAAGCCCAACCCAGCAGACAUAAUGCGGUCGAAUAUAGGUGGCACCUCCUCCAAGUUUCAGGCAUUGGGGUUGUACGAUCACAAACCAAGCAUUUUCCACAGCCCUGGGCUUGUUUCCGGCACUCCCAACUUAAACCAAAACCCCAAGGCCCAGACAACUUCCCCAGUCAAUGACAUCAAACUCACUUCCAAACAGAAGACUUCCUCCAAUCAGUUCCUGAACAAAUUCACAGACCUAUUCCUGCCCCCCUCCAGCAAAGACAAAGAGACCUACAACUUCCGUAGGUCUCCAUCCCCUCAUGGCAGCACACCUUGGGGAGGACCGGACCUCUCUCAAACUGAGCCGGAGAGCCAGCAGAGCCCACCACCUCCACCCUCUCCAGCAGUGGUGAUGAGCCGGCAGGACCAGAAACGCAUGACGCUGGGCCACAGCAAGCUGGACCUGGUGAACCAAUACAACAAAAUGAAAUCGAAGCAGGUGUACAGCCGCUUUGAGCUCAAGACCACAAAUUAAACUGGGAGCUCAGAUUGACGUCUUCUGGUAAAAUUUUAUGUCUAACUUCCAAAGCUGUUUUUUUCUUUCUCUGGACCUUAUUGCAUUUUAACAGUCCAUGAGGAAAAGUCUCCUGGUUGUCUUUUUAAAUUGCUCAGUCGUUUGUCUUCCUUCACAAUUUAGUGAUGCCAGUCGGAAAUGAAGCCAUUACAGCCACACUGGCUCUUUCACCAUGUUUACAGGGUUUUCCUCAGUGAUUCCUGAAACCAGAUUGCCUCUUUUUUCAGCUAAAUAACUCUUCAUUAGCGAGCAGCAGCAGUGGGAGAGACAUGGAAAGUCAACUUGAGCUGUUGUCACUUAAGCAAUAAUGAGUGAUAGUGAUCAAUUAUUUUGAUUAUAUGUGUUCUCAUUUUGUGUGUGUUUUUGUUUACUGCUCAUUUCAGUUUUUUGUCAUUAAUACAAUCAGCCAGAUGAUGGCAGGCAUUCAUAUGUCAUAUGACUAAUUUAUAUUGUGAUGUAUAUAAUUAACUGUCAGGAAUUUGGGUUAUUGUUUUAUUUUAUGCUAUGUUUACUUCAGAAUGUGAACUUUCUGUUAAGUUUGUCUUAAUUUGUAAGAUCAACACUUCAGGAUUUAAUAAAACACAAAGUUGAAGUUAA